rnacentral:SRP_RNA from 1 species
GCUGGGCGCGGUGGUGCACGCCUAUAGUCCCAGCUACUCAGGAGGCUGAAGCUGGAGUAUCGCUUGAGUCCAGGAGUUCUGGGCUGUAGUGUGCCAUGCCAGUUCAGUGUCUGCACUAAGUUCAGCAUCCAUAUGGUGACCUCCCAGGAGCAGGGGACCACCAGGUUGCCUAAAGAAGGGUGAACCAGCCCAGGUCAGAAACGGAGCAGGUCAAAACUCCCGUGCCGAUCAGUAGUGGGAUUGCGCCUGUGAAUAGCCACUGCACUCCAGCCUGGGCAAUAUAGAGAGACCCCAUCUCU